rnacentral:lncRNA from 1 species
CUUGAUAGCCUCCAUCAUUAGGCCCACUCUGGAAGUUGUGUUGCAUGUUCCCAGGCAUGUCACUGGACCAUCCUCCCAUGUUGUUCUGUGGAGGCAUGUUGUUCUGUGGUGGAAUGUAGUUGUUUUGAGGGGGCACAUAGUUUUGCGGCGGCAUGUUGUUCUGCAGGGGCAUGUUGUUUUGCGGCGACAUGUUGUUCUGCAGGGGCAUGUUGUUCUGUGGGGGCAUGUAGUUUUGUGGUGGCAUGUUCUGUGGCCCUCUAUUCAUAUUGUUCUGUUGCCCACCUACAUAGUUAUUAGGCCGUGGUCCACCUGGUCCACCAAUGUUCGGGGGUCCGC